GGAGAGCGGCGAGGAGGGCGCGGAGGGCGCGGAGAGCGCAGAGGCGGAGGACGGGAGAGGCAGGAGCUGGCCCGGGCCCUCCGCGCGCGCUGCGCACAAAGCCGCCUUUGACGCGCGGGCCACCGGGGCUACUUUGGGGACGAGGCGGGGAGGGGGAGCCACACUCCCCGCGGGGAGCGCUUUCUGCAGAGCACGAUGCAGAGGGCGGGCCCUGGGUCUGGGCGGUGGGGCCAGGAAGUGGACCUGGGACAAAGCUCUGCACCUGCCCAAAGCGAGGAGAGCUCCCCUCCCGGACUGCACCCCGCGCCCCUGGACCCCGGGCCUCGCCGUCCAGUCCCGUGCCCACAGCCUUGGGGUCCCAGAGCUUCCACCGCCUCGCCUGUUUUCAAGACCCCCUUUCUCAGACUGUCCUUUCUUUUUCUAAAUUUCUGUCUUCCUUUUUUCCCUUCUCUCUUCAUCCAUCCGCCCUCUGCUUUUGCCUCAUUGCGUACACCCAGUGAAAAACAGAAAGAAAGAAAGAAAGAAAGAAAGAAAAGCAGAAUCAUCCAGAUUGGAGCCUUUGCCAUCGCUGAGCCUUAGGAGGGAGGGAGGAGGGACCAAGAGAGCUUCUGCACCUGGGAUCAGCCCACCGCCCACCGCCUCAGUGGGAUGAAGUUGUUGAGGCCAGGGAGCGCCGUCCCAGGGUGGUGGGUGGUGGGUGGCAGCUUGCGCUGGGGGAGCCACCCCAUCCCUGUCCCGAGAACCAAGACAGGGGCAGCGUGGCUGUGCCCCCACCCCAGCAGCUCAGCCCAGCCACCCCCAUCUCUCUUUACUAGGAAAACAGUCUGUCUCCAUUGUCCAGGUGCCAGCAGAGCCUUUGGCAAAAGGGAGGCCGGCCAGCCCUCUGAUCAAACUCAAAGGUUAGUUAAAAGACAAAAACAGCUGAAAGUCUUCAUGAAUAAUGCCGGGCGUCCGCCCCCUCCCUCAGGCCCCCGGCCCAGUGUACCGCAGUCUCACUCAAUGCCAGACCACUUUGUUAUGCUGCUCGCCUAAGUCAGAAUUUCACAGAGAGGCCCAGAAGAAAAGCUCCCACAAUUAGGGGUCGCCUGUCAGAAAACAUUAACGCCUUCCUCUCCCGGCCUGUCAGGCCCGCUGCAGAUACAAACGGCCAUGGCGAAUUGACCCUCCACCCAUGAAGCCUGGCCAGCCACAGGAGCAGAGAUUUGCAAGCAAAGGAGAGGGACACGCCUCAGCCUCCAUGCAGUUCCUGAUGCUUGAUGAUGCUCCAGCUUCUGCUGCUGAAGCCAGGGCAGGGGCUGCCUGGGAGAUGACCCUGCAGACAGACAGAUGGACAGAUCUACGACCUAUCCUCACAUGCUGCAUAAGGACUGUUGUUCAAGGGCCAAUUUGUGACAAUUACAACAAUCCUCUAAGAUGAUGUUACUGUAUUUACCUUAAAGAGAGCAAGACUCCAGCGGGGCUGACUGGUCCCUGCUUACAUGGCCGCUUGGUAGUGGCAGAGGCAAAAUUUGAACUUGGGUUUGCCUGACUCCAAAUUCCCUGCCCUGCCCGAUAAGGCAGCCCUCGGUUUCCCCAGUGAGAUCCAGAGGUCAACUGCACGCUCGCUUCCUUCUGAAAGCCUGGGCCAAAGGCAGCGUGUUCUUUGCCUUGGCUGUUGCCUUAAUACGGCUCCUGUCCCUUUUCUAACAGGACCUGGUACACACUGGACAUCUGUACACUUAUGAAAAGAAGAAAGUAUUGAAGGCCGGAAGAGAGGGACUCCUUAGAAAUGAGGUUCUUCAGUUUGUCUUUGGCUGUUUAGUGCUGGAAGACACUCAGUUUGCAGCUUAGAGAUAGGACUGGGAUUCUUGGUGCACUCUCAAGCACUCCAGGGAGUUGAACCUUUGUCUCUUGCACUACAUAAGAAGAAAUAGUGAGCCACCUGCCAGGUGAGAGGCAAACAUGCACGAAGAUAGCUGUGUAAGACAGCUUAGCCUGGCCGAGUGUAGCAUCUACUCAGUGGAAAAGAAAUAGCAAGGAAUCCUUCAGUUUUGUGUGUAAAGAAAUUAUAUUCCACGUACGCAAGCCCAUCUAUGAAGCGGAAAUGCUGUGCUGUCAUCCAGGACCGUGUGUGCUACUGCUCCGCAGGGUCCACACUUUUGGGGUGCUGAGAGGUGAGCUGUGUGCGUCUUAGAGGGCUCUCCAGCAAUGUGGAGGGUUUGGGACCUCCAAAAGACCAGCUGUCCUCUGCUAAGGGCAGGAUGAUGGGCUGUUACUUCUGCCUAGUGGAGCAUGUAGGAAAUUAUCGGCCCUUUUUAUGGAAAAGAAAUUUAAGGCCUGUGAAGUGACUGCUUUGCCACGGGGAAUUAGCAGUGGGAGAUAGAAUCCAGCCACUCUGCUCGGCUUCUAGAACUUCACUCUCUUCAUAUUCCAGAGUGGCUUACAUAUCUGCUCUCUCCCACUAGCCUUGGAAGGAAAAUCUCCAGGAACCCAUUGGCAGAAAUUUCGGGAGUAGCCAUUCUUCUCACUGGUGAGAUAACUCAAGCUUGCUCCAACUCCCAAAAAUCCAGGGUUGGAGUCACCACCUCUUUGUGAUUUUCCCCCAUCAAUUGUUUCGAAUUUCAAAAGACUAAUUAAAAAAAAAAAGCAGGAAGAAAAAAAGAAAAGCUACCAUGUUUUAAUGUCAGGAGUGUAAUUCUGCAAACCCUGAUCAGCUUCUCUGUGAUUAUUUUUCACUCAUUCUUACUUGUGGAUCUGGAUUCUGGAGAGCGAAGUGACUUGUGACACAUUCUCACUCUGUCCUCUAUUUACUGUCCUAUGUCCUUCUUUGGGCAAACUUCUUUGCUGUCCAAAGACAGAUCCUGUCUUUGGCUCAUGCCAUGCCUUAGAACUGCUGGGCAAGAUCGUGGCGGGCUGGAGAGACUGAGGAUUGUUUGAGGUCAUUUCUUUUUAUAGAAAUGCAUUAGCUGAAAAUGUUCAAAUGCUGUUUUGUUUGAAACACAGUCUGGCCUCGUGAGCAGCGCCUCUCCCCACCUGCACAAACACGUCACAUAAAAGUGCUUAAAUGUGACCCUAACGAUACAGCCACGGUGAUCCAUGUACAUUUUGAUGGGAUCUGUGCCCUUACAAAUGCACGAUAAAACAGAAUGACCAGGUACUGCAGCUCUGCUAUGGAGACCAGCACAGGGCAGCUUCCUCUUUCUUUCGCAGCGUCUCCGUUUCCGGCGGAGCCGGAAGUAGGAAGUGGAAGGGUCCGGGACACCGGAAGUGCGUCACCUUCCUCAUCCUGCACUUCCUGCGGAGGCAGCCACGUGACCCCCGAGGCCAUCCAGCUCCCCGCUCUGAGCAAUGUUGCGUCCCUCACAGGGACACAGGUGGGCGCUUAGUGUAUUUCAAGGAACAACACUGAUUUCUUCCUGAACCUGCUAAUUCUAAUUCUACAUAUUUAAUAGAGAAAAGAAAAUCAGAUACACUCCCAAAGCCAGGCACCCGAAAACAUGUGUUGUAUUCUCUUUUUCAUAAGGUUAAAAAACCCGAAACAACUUGAAACUUGAAUAUUGAAUAUGGGUCCCAAUAAUUGUUAGAAGUUCAUAUAACAGCAUAUCAUGCAGAAUUUUGGAUGACAAUGUAGAUUUAUGUUUACUAACAUGACAAUGUAUCUGUGAUGUCACAUAUAUAUAUAUAUAAGUGAAGACAGCCAACUAGGAAGAAACAAGUGUGUAGUUAUAUGAACAUAUUAUAUAUAUGUGAAUAUAUAUAUGUCUUCCCCACAGCUUUCACUUUUCUAGUUAUAAUAAGAACGUUAACUUAGUUAUUAAAUCAACAAUUAUUUUCCCGCAUCCUUUGCUGGUUCCUGAGAGCACAACAGAUGAGAAGGCUUUCAUGUCCCCCUUAUUUAUGGGGUCAGACGGAAACUGAAAAACCUAGUCAUUACACAUUUCUGAAUCUUUACUCAUCCAUAAUUUUAAAUGUUUGUAGAAUGUAUAGUAGUAAUAGCUUAACUGAUUUGUGUAUUUUUUUUUUUUUUUAUCGGUACCAGGGAUUGAACUCACGACCACCUGCUUACAAGGCAGGUGCUUAUGCCUUUUUAUACAAAAUGGACCUCUUUCUUAAAUGCUGUGCUGUUUGCAAAUAAAUGAAAAAUUUUAUAGCCAAACAUUUAUAUAUGCCCAUAACUGUCCUUGAGACAGAUCUCUGGGAAGUUAAACCACUUUGACAGAGCAAAUGUGCUUUGAAUGGUCUUUUGGAUUCAUAGUUCCCAACUGUACCCAGAAAGGAGGUAUCUGGUAUAAUUUCAUCAGUGAGAUAGUGUAUCAGAUUGGACACAGCCUGACAAUGACCACUUUAGACAAUGUUACAGGUGGGAAGUUUCUUUUAAAAGCAACACCCCAUUCUUUUAUUGGGUCUGUCUUACCUAGCUAGUGCCGUCCAGUUGUUUUUUCUCACCCACUGGUCUAAGAUGGGCUGUGUGGAAUAAAUGGGCAGAGGUUUGCUCACAACAGAUGUAGCUGGGGAUUUGAUGACGUAGGUGGCCCUGACAGAUCGCCAGUGUGUCAGCAGGGGUCAUUCCUUUCAGCUUUGGGAGGAGAUAUACCAGAAAAUUAACUCUAGAAAUGACAACUGUGGCUGAGAUCAAGCCAGCGAUCCAUGAAGGUGGCUUAUGUUUCUUAGUGCAUGUUUCCAGAGUGCCACGGGCUGGCCAUCCCCAGCGGUCCAUCUGGAGGAGGUGAAUGGGGUGGAUUACUUCCUCCAACCUCUUCCCAUUCAUGCUGACCUCCCAGCCCUGCCCCCCACCUGCUGCGGGACUGGAGAAGAAAGCCAUUUCCAUAGGCCUUGGCUGCCUGGGGAGAUCUAUAUUACUCCGGGGGAGACAGGAGCUGUUCCCAUCUUGGUAAAGUGUGAAAUUCGGUUUUGAUUGCAAAGGGAAGCCAUUUCAACGGGAUUACACCGUGACCAUGUAGAUUAAACUCAGCCAUAUGGCCUGGGGAUGCUUCUUCCUAUGGUCAGGUAACAGUGCUUUGCUAAUGACGUGGUGAUGACAUUUUCAGAUGAAAAAUAAAGCCACCUGGAUGCGAAUAGAGGAGGAGGAAAAAUAACACGAUGCUGUUGCUUGCCAUUGAUGACUGACUUGCUGAAAAAACAAAAACUUAAGAGAAGUGAUAGUCACAGCGCGAAGAAAAAUUGGUUCUGUAAGUGACAGGUGUCUCGGUUUAACUGAGGUCUGUAUGUCAGGGUGGGUGGGACACGGGGGCUCGAGGGUGAAUCUGGGUGCAGGUCACACACACUGCACGCUGCGGAGGCCCCCCGCAGGCCCCCACCCCUGAAGCCUUCUGCUUCCUGCCGCCCCUCCUGCCCGCUCCGAAGCCUUCACCUGUGACGUGGGAUUUUGUUCCCAUAAUUUAUUUUCCACUUUUCUUUUCCAGUCAUGCUGGAGAGUCCAGGUAUGAAAGAAGAGCGGGUCCCUUCCUGUGAUUCCAGUCCUCUAGGAGCAGAGGUUCACUUCUAUUUUUUCUGCUUCCAAUUCAUAACUUUAAAAAAAAAAUUUUUUGUUGUUGUUCUCUUCUUUAGGAACCUAUUCGCAAAUUUUUAAAAAUUUGCACAAGUGCAGUGUGUGUGUGCGGCUUUGGGUGGGCUGUGGAAAUUGAUUUAUGAGUCGACCACUUUUGUCUUCCCUUGCACCUCCCGCCUGAGUGGUUUGUCGGCCCUGGGCUUUUCUUUCACGGAAGGAGAAUAAGGUUGUCUAUGGAAGAGGUCAGCAUUUCAAAUUGCUGCAGUUCAACUGCACAAACGACAUAGAACUGACGAGAAAAGACAGGGGUUUGGAGGUCACAGACUGCAUAGGUCUCGCCUAGGGUUUUGCUUUGUGAUGAACCCUGGCACCAAAAUGAAUUAAAUAACAGGCUUAAGGACUAUUGAGGGAAGACUGAAUGCAAAUCAAAGAUAACUAGAAGUUUUCUUUCCUAAAGGGGAUGAUUUUGUCCCGCCCGCUCCCCCUGCCCUAUCUGCGCCGGCGAGAGCUGCAUAUUAAACACGAUUUCGCUGCUAUUAUGCUGGGUGCUUUCACCGCCGGCCGCGCGAUGGCCUAUCUUGGCCUAUGAUUAAUGACUCACUGGGCAAUUUGGAAGCCAUAACAACUCCGCAGUCCACACACAAACUAUAGCCGCAUUCCUUUUGCGGAUUUGCUAAGCUGUUACCAAGGGGGCCCGCAGAGGAGCCGGAUUGCUGGAGAGAUAGCAAAGCAUUUCUGCAAAUGCCACACGGGCCUUAUCUGCUGAAAAGUGCCAUGAGCGGCAGGCUCAUUUACAAAAUUGAAAGCCUACAUCUCACGGCUUCUUUAUUUCAGGCCAGAUUAGGGAAAACAAAACAAAACGAAACACAAAAAUCACUGGGAGGGAAAAAAAAAGCCAGUGAAAACCAGUCCUGCUACACGGUGUGCAGACUCUGAGAGCUGGUGCAGGGCGGCAGGGCAGCGGGGGUCUCAGAUUUCCAGGCAGAGUCGUCAAGGUCUAGAGCUGAGUGUCCCUGAAAAGCAGAGUGUGAAUAUUUGGAAAGCCCAAGCAGAAGCAACAGCCAGCCUUGGAGGUUUGCUGUAUGGACCUGUUUGUGUGCAGUCAUCUGCACAGGAAACCCGUGUGUGGGGGCGAAGAGAGAGAGUGCAGGGGUGAGGGUCGGGGUAGGAGGUGGGGCGUUCAGUCCCAGGUCAUCCACUCCCUGUUUGUGCUCUGUGACCUUAGAUCCAUUCCUUUUCCUCUCUGAACUAGGGUUUUCUCGUCUGUUCAGUGAGAAGGUUGGAUUCAGUAAAUGAACUAUCAGAUCUUUUCCGACUUGUUUUUAUUUAAAUUGCAGGUAUUUAUUGAGCACCCACUGCAUGCUUGGGGUCUUUCUAGGCUCUUUCGCUAGGACAGUACUGCAGGAGAGGAGGCUGCACCGUCAUAGGCUGGGAACAGAGCGCGGCGGGAAGUAUGGUGGUGGGGGAGACCAGGAAGCCAUGGGAAGAGGACAGAGUAAGCCUUCUGGCAGGGAACCUGUCUAGAGCAAAGGCCCUGUGGUCUCUGAGUCCAUGUGCAGUGUCAUUCUCUUUGAGACUGAGUAGCUGUCAGCCACUUAGGGAGCUGGUGGCGACUCUGUGACCCUGAUCUGUGGCCAGCAACCUGUGGUCUGCUUGUUGAAAGCACCCAGGGAACUGUAGACAAAGAGAAGCCUGAGUGGCCAUUCCAGAGAUCCUGAUUUACCUGGCCUGGGAUGCAGCCUUGACCUGGAGGGGUUUCAGCGCCCCCCCCCCCGGGGUGUCUGUUUUGGCAGGCAGAGUCCAUCUAGAGCCAGUGGGUCAGUGACCAAGCUCUCCAGGGGCUGAGUGUUUGAUUCUGCCAACAAGAAAAUGUGGCUCAGCCCACACACAGUCUUCCGAAGGACCUUCCCUGCACAGCCCUGGGCACACAGAGGAGGGGAAGGUGGUCCAUACCAGAGUAUGGGGAAGACGGGCGCAAGGACACGGCUCCAACCACACUGGGACUUCUGCAGAGCCAUGAACGUCCCGCCUAAAUAUAACUCAUUCAAAGGCAACUUGCGUAUGCGUGCCGGAUCCAUGUAAACUUAACUCAUGCCUUUUAUUAAAAUCCUUACUUGACUAUCGUCGUGAAUAAAACAUGGGAAAUCACUUUUUGAUAGACUACAUAUAACAAAUUUGCUAUAUACUCAAAUUCAAUAUUAAUAUGCAAAUAAUUGUGAAAGGGAUCAAUGCGACCUGUAUGCUAGCUAAAGGCGUCUCCAGGACAAGGUCUGGACAGAAGGGAGCCACAGGUUUGAAAAUACACCUGCAGGAGAGAGGCAGUGAUAGCAGGGAGAGGAAGAGACGUGCGUGGCUGAGGGGCUCUUGACUCCUGUUUUAUUUACAUAUGAAAAUAGUCCGUGUUGGAGCAAAGAGAAUGCAUGUUAAGUGGCUGAAGUCGGCUUUGUAAUUAUGCAACCCAUUAAUCAGGUUUGGACCAUUCAGAUGAUUAGCAGAUGGAUUUUUCCUUGGAAUUCCCAAACAUCAGACGUCCUUUGCUUUUGACCAUAUGGCCAGACUCGUCUUUUUCCUUUUGUGUCAAGGCAUUGUGUUAGCAAAGCCAAGGCCGUACCCCACAAACUCGGCAGAGCCAAAGGCGCGGGCUCCAGUAUGGCCAGAAACAUGAAAAUGAUUGCUUUUUCCUGACAAUCGAAUCUUAAUGAUGUACUUGCCUCUAAGAGAAAAGCUUGUAAAAAAAACCAAAAAAAACCUUGAAAAAAAUAGGCCUUGGUUUCUUGCUGAAUCAAAUUUCCAUCCCCCCCAUAUAUGUACUGAAAAAUAUGGUCACACACUUACGGAAUCUGUAGAGUCAGCAAGAAAAACAUGGUGCUGGUAUCCCUUUCUUAAAAAAUUUUAAUUUUAUUUACCAAGCAGUAAAUACAUUAAUUCCCACUGUAAAAUAUUUAGGUAUAGUAAAUAGUAACUGUUCCUUCCCAAGAGCAGUUAUCAUGCCAGAGACAAUCACUGUUCCCCAGUGGGAAUCAUACUUUACCUCCCUGUUUUUUUAUGGUGUUUUCAUAUCUGAAGUUUUGGAAACACUUCAUAUCUGAGGUUUUGUGUUGGGGGAUAUAUGUGCUUUAUAGGAAUAUAUACAAUGUCAGUUUUUACAUGGUAUUCGAAAACUGUCUUUUUUCAGACAGCUGUAUGUCUUAUGUAUGUGUGUAUAUAUGUAUGUGAGCCCAAGAAAAAUAAAUCUGCUUCUAGAAAAUGGUAGAUAAGGUUUCAAAGUAUGCAUCUACAUCCUAAAGAAAGGCGUGUGCUUCCACAAGCAGCAUUGCCUAUCAAUGCAAAACCACUUUACCGCCAGGGAUUUAGCUCAGUGGCGGAAGCGUCUGCCUGGCCAGCACAAGAUCAUGGGUUCAGUCCCUGGUACAAAAAAACAAAUCACCUCACCACACGUCUGUGAGUCUGUCUUUAGGGACUGAAAGUGGAAUUACUGGCUCGGAGGACACGUGCGUGCUUUUAACUUUCACAUACACUGCCAAAAUAUCUUCCAAAACAGAGCGACCAACUUUCACAGUGCCGUGGGACCUUUGUAGCUGUGUCUUUUGCAGAGUUUCUCUAUUUGUCGGGGUGAAGUCCUUGCUCUUUCCUCCCUGCUGAAGUGGGCGCGCAUCUUCAGGCCUGUCCACUCUAUUUUCAUCCAGGAGACACUAGCUAGAGGUGGCUGGAAAUAGCACGGGCCCAUUCGCCAAGACCGGAGACAAUAUUCCUCAUCUGGGCACUGCUUUGGCCAACUGAGCUAAACCCGUAGCCCAGCAUCUGAAGGGCAAAGUAUCACAGUUACCACAAAACCUUUUUGGCGCAUGCACGCGUAGUGAUUAGGGUACAGAUAGCCAUUAAGUUUUAGAACAGAGACCAAAGUGCUCAAAAUGAGUUUAGAAAUGUGAUCAUGUCUCUGUUCUUACUUAUGAGAAGUAAGGGGCUGAGGCUGAAGACCCACCGCACUAGCAACUUUCAUCUUGCACAACGUUCCUGAAGGUGCUGUGUCUUCCACCUGGUCCAAGGUGGUGGCAGUCACAUCCACAUUGAAUCUUUACAAUUCUCAAGUGCUGGUGUAAAAACCUCAUGUUACAGUCCAGAGGUCUUAGGAAACUGGCCAGAGUCAUACAGUACAGACACUCAGGAGCAGAUGUUUGAAUGCGAGUCUCUGAUUUUGGACACUGUCUUUCUGCUAUACAAUGGUGUGUCUCCUUUGGUAUUAGAAGCUCUGGAUUUUUGUCCUACUCUACUUUCUACUAAGUAAUGUUACCUGGAGUCUCUUAAUUUUGCUGAAGUUCCUCCUUUUGAAAUAAAGCUAAUGAAGACAA